UUUUUUUUUUUUUAAGUUGGUCCAAUGUUCAGUCUCUCUUUUUUAUCCAAUGGAGUAAAACUAACGUGCGUGUUAGAAAGUCAUUGGUGGGUUCUUUAACGUUGACGGAAACUUUUCGCAAUCAUAACUCCUUUAAACAAAAACUAAAUAAGCAUGUAUAAUCAUUUACAUUACACGUGUCUCUUCAAAGUUCACAAUCUCUUAAUUAUCAUCACACCGGCUAUAUCUCAGUAUCUACAGUGUACUUCUAUAUUUCACGUAAGUAUUAGUAUACUAUUUGUUAAUUUGCGAUCCAAUUCACAUUUCAUACACUUUUUCGAAAUUUUAAAGC
rnacentral:lncRNA from 1 species